UGGGGAAUAUUGCGCAAUGGGGGAAACCCUGACGCAGCAACGCCGCGUGGAGGAAGAAGGUUUUCGGAUCGUAAACUCCUGUCUUCUGGGAAGAAACAUGACGGUACCAGAGGAGGAAGCCACGGCUAACUACGUGCCAGCAGCCGCGGUAAUACGUAGGUGGCGAGCGUUGUCCGGAAUUACUGGGUGUAAAGGGCGUGUAGGCGGGACUGCAAGUCAGAUGUGAAAUACCGGGGCUCAACUCCGGGGCUGCAUUUGAAACUGUAGUUCUUGAGUGCAGGAGAGGAAAGCGGAAUUCCUAGUGUAGCGGUGAAAUGCGUAGAUAUUAGGAGGAACACCAGUGGCGAAGGCGGCUUUCUGGACUGUAACUGACGCUGAGGCGCGAAAGCGUGGGGAGCGAACAGG
rnacentral:rRNA from 2 species